rnacentral:rRNA from 1 species
CACGUGGGAGGCGAGCGUUGUCCGGAGUUACUGGGCGUAAAGCGCGCGCAGGCGGCCGCGGCCGCCCGCCGUGACAGCCCCCGGCUCAACCGGGGAGGGUCGGCGGGAACGGCGCGGCUGGAGGGCAGGCGAGGCCGGUGGAAUUCCCGGUGUAGUGGUGAAAUGCGUAGAUACCGGGAGGAACACCAGUGGCGCAGGCGGCCGGCUAGGCUGCCCCUGACGCUGAGGCGCGAAGGCCGGGGGAGCGAACGGG